rnacentral:pre_miRNA from 3 species
AAUGGAUUUGCUAGGUUAUAUGGUAAAUUUAUGUUUAACUUUUUAAGAAACUGCUAAACUGUUUUCCAAAAUGACUGCACCAUCUUAUAUUCCCACCAGCAAU